UUUCAAUUCCUCCUCCUGAAGUCUGAGCUUCAAAGGGUUUCCAAGAUUUGUUCUCCUACUUAAGAGCUCAAGGCAUUGAAGCCCUCAUUUUCUCUCCAACUUAUUAAUCUCAAUGGCUACUGUUGUGGAGCUGAAGGUGGGUUUGCAUUGUGGAGAUUGCAUCAAGAAAAUCUUGAAGGCCAUUAAAAAGAUUGAAGAUAUUGAGAGGUACAAUGUUGAUACAAAGCUGAACAAAAUCACUGUGGCUGGUAAUGUAACAACAAAAGAAGUCAUCAAAGUCCUUCGAAAAAUUGGGAAGAUGGCAAGUUAUUGGGAAGAAGAUUAGAGAAACCUUACAUUGAAUCAUAUCUGGAAAAUCUUAUUUCUUGGUCUUCUGAUCCAUUGGCGGAUUGGAGAAUCGAAAACUGGUUAUUCUAUAAUUCAUUUUCGUGUGGGGAAGGGCAAAAAAGGGAAGUUGCAGAGAAUAGUGAUUUUUAUGCAUAUAGUGUGAGAAAAGCAACAAAAAUUGCAUGUUCAUAAAAUUUGGGUCUCAUCAGAUAUGUCAAAUGGCAAAUAUUUGAACUCCGUUGUUUUGGGCUGUUUAAAUAAACUGAUAAAAGUGGGCCUUUUAAGGAAA